rnacentral:lncRNA from 1 species
CGCGCUUACAAGCAAUGAGUGAAGGGCUACCUUAGCUCUGCUUAAUGUUUGACUGUGGUUUCUGUAUCUGCUCCCAUCAGUUGCUGGAUGAAGCCUCUCUGGUGACAUUUGGGCUAGGAAUCAAGAACUUUACAGUAAGACUCUAUUGCUGAAGACAUCUCACACUUGAGUCAUAGAAUAUGGAGAACUCAAGACUGUACUCACCUGGAAGCUUCAUCUCUAUGACAGCUUUCUGAGUGAUGGAAGACACUGUUAAUGCUACCAGAGGAAAAAAGUAAUUGUCAAUCUUACCCAGCUAUGUAUGUACCCUGCAAUCUAUAACAAGA